rnacentral:rRNA from 1 species
GUCUAUGGCCAUGCCACCACAAGCCUGAUGUCUGAUCUCGGACGCUAAGCAGGGUCGGGCCUGGUUAGUAUUUGGAUGGGAGACCACCUAGGAAGACCAGGCGCUGUAGGCA